CAAUAGCGUAUAUUAAAGUUGUUGCAGUUAAAAAGCUCGUAGUUGAAUUUUUGCUUGCCGCCGAUGUCGGAACUUCCGUACGUUCGGCGGCGUGCAUCCUUGGGUGGAACCUAUGUGGCAUUAGGUUGUCGUGCAGGGGAUGCUCAUCGUUUACUGUGAAAAAAUUAGAGUGUUCAAAGCAGGCUUAUGCCGUUGAAUAUAUUAGCAUGGAAUAAUAAGAUAGGACCUUGGUACUAUUUUGUUGGUUUGCGCACCGAGGUAAUGAUUAACAGGGACAGUUGGGGGUAUUUGUAUUCCAUUGUCAGAGGUGAAAUUCUUGGAUUUCUGGAAGACGAACUACUGCGAAAGCAUUUACCAAGGAUGUUUUCAUUAA
rnacentral:rRNA from 1 species